GCCGCCGUAGCUCAGCGUGGUAGAGCAGCUGGCUGUUAACCAGUCGGUCGCCCGUUCAAGUCGGGCCGGCGGCG
rnacentral:tRNA from 1 species